rnacentral:rRNA from 1 species
AGAGUUUGAUCAUGGCUCAGAACGUACGCUGGCGGCACGCCUAACACAUGCAAGUCGAACGAAGUAGCAAUACUUAGUGGCAGACGGGUGAGUAACAUGUAGGUAUCUGCCCUUUGGCCUGGAAUAACACGAGGAAACUUGUGCUAAUACUGGAUAAGUCUUUACGGAGAAAGCUUUAUGCACCAUCGGAUGAGCCUGCACUUGAUUAGUUUGUUGGUGGGGUAAUGGCCUACCAAGACUGUGAUCAAUAGCUGAUUUGAGAGGAUGAUCAGCCACAUUGGGACUGAGACACGGCCCAAACUCCUACGGGAGGCAGCAGUGGGGAAUCUUGCACAAUGGAGGAAACUCUGAUGCAGCGAUGCCGCGUGAGUGAAGAAGGCCUUUGGGUUGUAAAGCUCUUUCGUCGGGGAAGAAAAUGACUGUACCCGAAUAAGAAGGUCCGGCUAACUUCGUGCCAGCAGCCGCGGUAAUACGAAGGGACCUAGCGUAGUUCGGAAUUACUGGGCUUAAAGAGUUCGUAGGUGGUUGAAAAAGUUGGUGGUGAAAUCCCAGAGCUUAACUCUGGAACUGCCAUCAAAACUUUUCAGCUAGAGUAUGAUAGAGGAAAGCAGAAUUUCUAGUGUAGAGGUGAAAUUCGUAGAUAUUAGAAAGAAUACCAAUUGCGAAGGCAGCUUUCUGGAUCAUUACUGACACUGAGGAACGAAAGCAUGGGUAGCGAAGAGGAUUAGAUACCCUCGUAGUCCAUGCCGUAAACGAUGUGUGUUAGACGUUGGAAAUUUAUUUUCAGUGUCGCAGCGAAAGCGAUAAACACACCGCCUGGGGAGUACGACCGCAAGGUUAAAACUCAAAUGAAUUGACGGGGACCCGCACAAGUAGUGGAGCAUGUGGUUUAAUUCGAAGAUACGCGCAGAACCUUACCAACACUUGACAUGUUCGUCGCGACUCUAAGAGAUUGGAGUUUUCGGUUCGGCCGGACGAAACACAGGUGCUGCAUGGCUGUCGUCAGCUCGUGUCGUGAGAUGUUGGGUUAAGUCCCGCAACGAGCGCAACCCUCACUUUUAGUUGCCAGCAUUAAGU